AUGACCGUGACGCUCGAGGAUGUCUCGUUGAUCACCGGUCUUGCUAUCGACGGGAGGCCUCUAUGUAUGAGCACCGAUUCUGAUGGGUGGCGCGAGCAGAUGAUUGCUCUUAUCGGUAUGGCUCCUACUGAGGAGGAGGGAGAAGAGAAGAAGAAGAGGGAAAGGAAGGCAGCUGAAGCUGCUUUCACGUGGAUUCAAAAUAACUUUGCGACGUGCCCUCCGGAUGCAACUGAUGAUGUGAUCCAGACACAUGCUCGUGUGUAUAUGUGGUACAUUGUGUCGAGGACUUUGUUUCCUGACUCCACUGGCAAGAACGCUCCAUGGAUGUGGCUGAAGGCGUUGACCGUCUUCGAUAGCAAAUGGAGCUGGGGUUCAACGACUCUUGCCUACUUGUACCGACAGGUAGUUGGUCUGUUUUGUGAUCAACUCAUUUAUUCAUUAGCAAUGCAAGCUUGCUGUCAAGUUAACAUUGUUUUUCUUUCAUAUGUAGCUGGAUGA
rnacentral:rRNA from 1 species